GCAAGUCGAGCGCACCUUCGGGUGAGCGGCGGACGGGUUAGUAACGCGUGGGAAUAUACCCCUUUCUACGGAAUAGCCUCGGGAAACUGAGAGUAAUACCGUAUACGCCCUUCGGGGGAAAGAUUUAUCGGAGAGGGAUUAGCCCGCGUUGGAUUAGAUAGUUGGUGGGGUAAUGGCCUACCAAGUCUACGAUCUAUAGCUGGUUUGAGAGGAUGAUC
rnacentral:rRNA from 1 species